UACGGGGGGGGCAAGCGUUGUUCGGAAUUACUGGGCGUAAAGGGCUCGUAGGCGGCCAACUAAGUCGGACGUGAAAUCCCCAGGCUCAACCUGGGAACUGCGUCCGAUACUGGAUGGCUUGAAUCCGGGAGAGGGAUGCAGAAUUCCAGGUGUAGCGGUGAAAUGCGUAGAUAUCGGGAGGAACAUCAGUGGCGAAGGCGGCCCUCUGGUCCAGUACUGACACUCAAGUGCGAAAGCGUGGGGAGCAAACAGG
rnacentral:rRNA from 1 species